rnacentral:rRNA from 1 species
GACGAACGCUGGCGGCGUGCCUAAUACAUGCCAGUCGAACGAGAGCGACCGGUGCUUGCACUGGUCAAUCUAGUGGCGAACGGGUGAGUAACACGUGGGUAACCUGCCCAUCAGAGGGGGAUAACAUCCGGAAACGGAUGCUAAAACCGCAUAGGUCUUCGAGCCGCAUGGCUUGAAGAGGAAAAGAGGCGCAAGCUUCUGCUGAUGGAUGGACCCGCGGUGCAUUAGCUAGUUGGUGAGGUAACGGCUCACCAAGGCCGUGAUGCAUAGCCGACCUGAGAGGGUGAUCGGCCACAUUGGGACUGAGACACGGCCCAAACUCCUACGGGAGGCAGCAGUAGGGAAUCUUCCGCAAUGGACGCAAGUCUGACGGAGCAACGCCGCGUGAGUGAAGAAGGUUUUCGGAUCGUAAAACUCUGUUGUUAGAGAAGAACAAGUGCUAGAGUAACCGUUAGCGCCUUGACGGUAUCUAACCAGAAAGCCACGGCUAACUACGUG